GUGCCCAAUGAUUAAGGAAUGACGCGUUAUUGCGAGGACUAAUCUGGCAAGCUAUUCUUUCUGCUUGCUGUGCCUUCACUGCCACCUCCUUAUCCAUUUCUCUAGUCCCCGCUUUUUUCUGUUAUUUCUCUCCUUCCUUCCCCACUCCCUGCUCCUUCAAAGUAAAACCUUUAUGGAUAGCUGGCCAGUGUCCUAUGAGCGUGAUUGAAAGAUGAGGGCAG